ensembl:snoRNA small nucleolar RNA SNORD35
UGCAAAUGAUGUUUUUCUCACGAUGGUCUUCUUAGCCCUGUGGGCUUUGACGACAGUGCCUAUUGGCAUUACUGAUGUAGUAUA